CAUUGAGGCAGUCAAAGCAGGCAAAUCCGCUUUGAUAAUGCUGGGAUGUGAUGGGGAGCGAAAUUUAGUAGCGAAGUAGCUGAUUUCACACUGUCAAGAAAAGUCUCUAUCGAGGUUAAAGGUACCCGUACCGCAAACCGACACAGGUGGGUGAGGAGAGUAUCCUAAGGCCAGCGAGAGAACUGUUGUUAAGGAACUCGGCAAAAUGACCCCGUAACUUAGGGAUAAGGGGUGCCACCAUCCGGUGGCCGCAGAGAAUAGGCCCAAGCGACUGUUUACCAAAAACAUAGGUUUCUGCUAAGUCGCAAGACGAUGUAUAGGAGCUGACGCCUGCCCGGUGCUGGAAGGUUAAGGGGAUCUGUUAGAGCAAUCGAAGCAGUGAACUUAAGCCCCAGUAAACGGCGGCCGUAACUAUAACGGUCCUAAGGUAGCGAAAUUCCUUGUCGGGUAAGUUCCGACCCGCACGAAAGGCGUAACGAUUUGGGCACUGUCUCAACAACAGACUCGGUGAAAUUGUAAUUCCGGUGAAGAUGCCGGAUACCUGCGACAGGACGGAAAGACCCCAUGGAGCUUUACUGUAGCUUGACAUUGGGUCUUGGUACUACAUGUACAGGAUAGGUGGGAGGCUUUGAAACCAGGACGCCAGUUUUGGCGGAGCCAUCCUUGGGAUACCACCCUUGUAGUACUGGGACUCUAACCAUAGGCCAUGAAUCUGGUCUUGGGACACUGUCAGGUGGGCAGUUUGACUGGGGCGGUCGCCUCCCAAAAGGUAACGGAGGCGCUCAAAGGUUCUCUCAGUACGGUCGGAAAUCGUACGUAGAGUGUAAAGGCAAAAGAGAGCUUGAUUGCAAGACAUACAGGUCGAGCAAGGAUGAAAAUCGGACUUAGUGAUCCGGUGGUUCUGCGUGGAAGGGCCAUCGCUCAACGGAUAAAAGCUACCCUGGGGAUAACAGGCUUAUCUCCCCCAAGAGUCCACAUCGACGGGGAGGUUUGGCACCUCGAUGUCGGCUCAUCACAUCCUGGGGCUGUAGUAGGUCCCAAGGGUUGGGCUGUUCGCCCAUUAAAGUGGUACGCGAGCUGGGUUCAGAACGUCGUGAGACAGUUCGGUCCCUAUCCGUCGCAGGCGUAGGAAAUUUGAGAAGACCUGUCCUUAGUACGAGAGGACCGGGAUGGACGUACCUCUGGUGUACCAGUUGUUCUGCCAAGGGCAUGGCUGGGUAGCUAUGUACGGAAUGGAUAAGCGCUGAAAGCAUCUAAGCGCGAAGCCAACUUCAAGAUAAGAUUUCCCACCGCAAGGGUAAGACCCCAGAAAGACUAUCUGGUUGAUAGGUCGAAGGUGUAAGUGCAGCAAUGUAUUUAGCUUAUCGAUACUAAUAG
rnacentral:rRNA from 1 species